rnacentral:tRNA from 1 species
GCCUGGCUGGUUCAGUUGGAAGAGCAUAUGACUCUUGAUCUCAGGAUCGUGAGUUUGAGUCCCAUGUUGGGUG